rnacentral:rRNA from 1 species
AUUGAACGCUGGCGGCAGGCUUAACGCAUGCAAGUCGAGCGGGGGAAGGUAGCUUGCUACUGGACCUAGCGGCGGACGGGUGAGUAAUGCUUAGGAAUCUGCCUAUUAGUGGGGGACAACAGCUCGAAAGGGAUGCUAAUACCGCAUACGUCCUACGGGAGAAAGCAGGGGAUCUUCGGACCUUGCGCUAAUAGAUGAGCCUCGGUCGGAUUAGCUAGUUGGUGGGGUAAAGGCCUACCAAGGCGACGAUCUGUAGCGGGUCUGAGAGGAUGAUACGCCACACUGGGACUGAGACACGGCCCAGACUCCUACGGAAGGCAGCAGUGGGGAAUAUUGGACAAUGGGGGGAACCCUGAUCCAGCCAUGCCGCGUGCGUGAAGAAGGCCUUAUGGUUGUAAAGCACUUUAAGCGAGGAGGAGGCUACUCUAGUUAAUACCUAGGGAUAGUGGACGUUACUCGCAGAAUAAGCACCGGCUAACUCUGUGCCAGCAGCCGCAGUAA